rnacentral:rRNA from 1 species
GACGAACGCUGGCGGCGUGCCUAAUACAUGCAAGUAGAACGCUGAAGGAGGAGCUUGCUCUUCUGGAUGAGUUGCGAACGGGUGAGUAACGCGUAGGUAACCUGCCUGGUAGCGGGGGAUAACUAUUGGAAACGAUAGCUAAUACCGCAUAAUAGUAGAUGUUGCAUGAUAUUUACUUAAAAGGUGCAAUUGCACCACUACCAGAUGGACCUGCGUUGUAUUAGCUAGUUGGUGGGGUAACGGCUCACCAAGGCGACGAUACAUAGCCGACCUAAGAGGGUGAUCGGCCAAACUGGGACUGAGACAAGGCCCAGACUCCUACGGGAGGCAGCAGUAGGGAAUCUUCGGCAAUGGACGAAAGUCUGACCGAGCAACGCCGCGGGAGUGAAGAAGGGUGUCGGAUCGUAAAGCUCUGUUGUAAGAGAAGAACGAGUGUGAGAGUGGAAAGUUCACACUGUGACGGUAUCUUACCAGAAAGGGACGGCUAACUACGUG